AACGAACGCUGGCGGCAGGCUUAACACAUGCAAGUCGAACGCAUCGCAAGAUGAGUGGCAGACGGGUGAGUAACGCGUGGGAACAUACCCUUUUCUACGGAACAGCUCUGGGAAACUGGAAUUAAUACCGUAUACGACCUACGGGGGAAAGAUUUAUCGGGGAAGGAUUGGCCCGCGUUGGAUUAGCUAGUUGGUGGGGUAAAGGCCUACCAAGGCGACGAUCCAUAGCUGGUCUGAGAGGAUGAUCAGCCACAUUGGGACUGAGACACGGCCCAAACUCCUACGGGAGGCAGCAGUGGGGAAUAUUGGACAAUGGGCGCAAGCCUGAUCCAGCCAUGCCGCGUGAGUGAUGAAGGCCUUAGGGUUGUAAAGCUCUUUCACCGAUGAAGAUAAUGACGGUAGUCGGAGAAGAAGCCCCGGCUAACUUCGUGCCAGCCGCCGCGGUAAGAC
rnacentral:rRNA from 1 species